UACAGAGGUCUCAAGCGUUGUUCGGAUUCAUUGGGCGUAAAGGGUGCGUAGGUGGUGAUGCAAGUCUGGUGUGAAAUCUCGGAGCUCAACUCCGAAAUUGCACCGGAUACUGCGUGACUCGAGGACUGUAGAGGAGAUCGGAAUUCACGGUGUAGCAGUGAAAUGCGUAGAUAUCGUGAGGAAGACCAGUUGCGAAGGCGGAUCUCUGGGCAGUUCCUGACACUGAGGCGCGAAAGCUAGGGGAGCAAACGGG
rnacentral:rRNA from 1 species